UUCGAAUGUGUUUGUUAUGUAUUUGUUUAUGAUAAUUUACGUGGCAAGUUGGACAAGAAAGUUAUUUUGUGUAUAUUUGUAAGAUAUAACAGCCAAAGGAAAGGAUGGAGAUGUUGUCAUCCUACAACCAGGAAGUGUUAUGCAUCUCAGAAUGCAGUGUUUGAUGAGUCAUCUUCAUGGUGUCCAUCAGAGAAGGAGGUAUCUCCACAAUCAGAUGCUUUUAGGCAUGAGUGGCAGGAUUCUCAAAUUCACUUUUGUUUGGGAGAAGCUGAGGUUGUUGAUGAUGAAGCUGAAACUCAAAGACCUUGGCGAAUCAGUGUGCAUCUAUGCCCAGUUGAAACUGAUGUACUGCAACAUUUAACCAAAAUUGAUGUGCAUCAACCACUGAAUGGUGAAGAUGAGUAGAAUGAACCAGAAGCAUUAGCUCCACUAAAAAAAUUAGGAAGAGAAAGAAAGCCAAAUCCCAAGUAUGCAAAGGCCAACACUGCUAUAGUCGAAGAAGAUGAGAAGGAACCAAAUAUGUUUAAGGAAACAUUUAAAAGUCUGAAGUGGCUCAAAGCCGUGGAAGAAGAGAUUAUUGCACUAGAAAUAAAUGAAACAUGGGAAUUUGUGUUAAAGCCAAAAGAUGUAAAGUCUAUCUCUUGCAAGUGGAUUUAUAAGACAAAGCAUCGCACAGAUGGAUCAAUUGAGAGGCAUAAGAGUCGUUGGGUGGCUUGAGGAUUUUGUCAGUAGUAUAGACUAGACUAUGAUGAAACAUUUAGUCCGGUGGCGAAGCUUACAACGAUGCGAGUUUAGCUUGCACUUGCAGCCAGUAAAUGCAUGAACUUGUGGCAAAUGGAUGUGAAGAAUGUGUUUCUUCACGAGGAGCUAGACUUGGAGAUUUACAUGAAUCAGCCGAUGGAUUUUUAGAAUUGAGAUUAUCUAGAGUAUGCGUGCAAGCUUCGAAAGGUGCCCUAUGGUUUUAAGCAAGCACUGAGGGCCUAGUAUGGAAAGAUUGCUGAAUUCUUGACUCAUAACAACUAUUCGAUAACGUGUGCAGAUUCAAGCUUGUGCAUUUUUAUAUGAAAGAACUUGGACAACUAAAAAACUUUCUUAGUUUGGAAGUUGAUUGUAGUCAAGAUGGGAUCCUUUUUCAUCAGCAAUAGUAUGCUAAAGACUUGUUGAAAAAUUUUGGAAUAUUGAACUGCAAGCAAAUUUAGUCACACAUGGAACCAAAUGCCAAGAUGUGUGCUCAUAAAGGGAAGGCUUUGGAAAUUGCAACAAUGUAUUGGCAAUUAGUUGGUAGUUUAAUCUAACUUUGACAAAACCUGAUUUUUCUUAUACAAUUGGGGUGAUGAGUUGAUAUAUGCAAAGUCUAAAGAAGCCUCACUUGGAAGUUGUUCGGCGAAUUUUGAGGUAUAUGAAGAGUACUCUUGUGUCACGGGGCUAGACCUUUCGUCUCGCAAUCCGUGCGGCCUUAGGCGAUCCGUUCGUCCAAACUCGCCCAAGUCAGCCUUAACUCAAGUGAGGAUUCUUUUAGAACUCCUCCAAGGUACCAAAUUAAAAAGUGGAAGCGAUUUAUGCCAAAAGAAGCUGAACCAAAGAGCAACAAAAAGAGCGCUCUCAAUUCUCUCAUUCACAAAG
rnacentral:lncRNA from 1 species